rnacentral:rRNA from 1 species
CUAUGACGGGUAUCCGGCCUGAGAGGGUGAUCGGACACACUGGAACUGAGACACGGUCCAGACUCCUACGGGAGGCAGCAGUAGGGAAUAUUGCUCAAUGGGGGAAACCCUGAAGCAGCAACGCCGCGUGGAGGAUGAAGGUUUUAGGAUUGUAAACUCCUUUUGUAAGAGAAGAUUAUGACGGUAUCUUACGAAUAAGCACCGGCUAACUCCGUGCCAGCAGCCGCGGUAAUACGGAGGGUGCAAGCGUUACUCGGAAUCACUGGGCGUAAAGAGCGCGUAGGCGGGAAGGUAAGUCAGAUGUGAAAUCCUGUAGCUUAACUACAGAACUGCAUUUGAAAC